AUGUGCAUGGCUGGGAGUUUCCCUUUUUGCCAGAGGUGUGUAUUCCUAGGAGACAGAGGUAGAAAAUCUAGGUUCAGCAUAAAGAAUACAUAAAAGUCCUCCCCAGUAUUGUGUUACAAUCACCUGGUUUUGCUAAUUAGCACAGAUCUUCAGCCAGGAAGUAGAACUAAUUGGUGAAAUCAACUGGUUGAGUUCACACUGGAAUUUAUAUCUCUGGACAUGGGAGACCUCAACAUCAAAAUGUGAAUACAACUGAUCUUGGUUACAGUUAACUUUUCCUUGUUGCGAAUGUGCAGUUCAAUACUGUGUGGGAAAUAAUUAUAUAACUUUUGUAAAAUAUGUGUAGCUAUUGUUUCCCUCACCCUCUCUGCCACAGUACAGUUUGGACUCUUAUAUGUACACAAGUAUCCUGAACACGUGUCUAAAUUGCUUCAUCAGAUCACUGUAAUGUAGAUCAGCUGAUUCGCACUAAUGAAUAAAUUGAGUUUCCCUACCAGCUGUACAUACACGUAAUCCAAUUGUUACCAUGAUGCACGGCGAGGUAAGUAAUUCCAGCGUUGUUCCCCUUAUGGCCACUGGGAGAUAAAGCUAUCAGGAUGAUAUUUAAUUAUCUUUUUUGUCAACAAUUAUGUUAUUAAUUUCCCAAUAAUGACACCAUCCAGCAGUCAUUGUUUCACAGUUACAAUCUUAUCAGUCUUUAUCCUCCCCCCACCUCCCCCACCCCUGUCUGUCUGAUCUCAGUCUUCAUAUCAAACUAUUCCCACAAAAGCCCUUUACCAAUCAGGCCUUAAUAAGGUGGAUAAGGGAUAAAAGUCACUACCUCCUUCUAUAAAUGUUUGUAGAUUAGUUUAAUAUUGUUGCUUAUUUAAUAACCAUUAUUUUGUUGAAUAUGUCUUGAUGGACUCUGAAACCAAUGCAUUACCAUUACAAAAGUCUAUUGUUUUUAAUGUAUUGUUCACCAGUUUAUCAUUCAGUUGAACAUGGACCAAGCUCACUGGUGUGCUAUUGUUCGAGGAAGGCUCUCUGCAGAAGAUGCAUUGGAGCAGCCAUUCCUCAUCUGCAGCCGUAAUGGGACCUGGCCCAGAGACACGCUGAAAUGAAACGGUGGAAUGCCAGCCUGCUGGGUGUGGGACCUGUGGGGCUGGCUUUGAUGUGGGUUAAUGAGCUAGAAAUGACAGCAAUAGAAGCGAAAGCUAAAAAACAAGGGCUGCGCAAAUGAUUGAAAUCGGGUGUGGCUCUCAAAGCAAAAUUAAGGCCAUAAAAACAUAAAAGAAAAUUACAGCUUUCAAACUUUCAUGAAUUGGAUCUUGUAUGCUUGUAUGGAGCUGGGGUGCUCUUCAGAAGGUCUGCUUAUGUUCCAUUUGUAUUUAAAGGCCAUGUACACUUAGGUGGCUUGUACUUUGUGAGGCAUUGCUUGUGUGCGUGUGUCUAUAAAUGUGUGUGUGUGUUCAGGCAGUGCCUCACAAAUCACAAACAAAAGUAUAAGACUCUUUCUCUGUGUUUCAGUUUGUAUCUCUUACUACCUGUUAUAAAAGGCACAAAUACAUCUGUGGUUUUAUACUGUACAGAGUAAGCUUUCUGCAUAGCUUACUCUGUACCCCUAAGACGUGAUGUCAGCCACCACUUCUUAUCGCACUGCAUUGUACAAGCUGGGCGCACACAAAUAUGAGUUGGGAGGGACACACGUAAUGUGCUGUUGAACAGGUGCACCGCUCAUGAGAGACUGUUUGACCAGUAGUGGUAAGCUAAAAAAUGCCAUAGCACUGGUUGUGUAUUACCAUGCUUGGCUGCAAGCAGUGCCACAAAUGACUGAGCAGAUUCAAAGCCUGACCAGAUAAGACAGAGUGUGGGGACCAUUCACACACUGAUCCAGACCCUUGUUAGAAUGAACCAUUCAGCAGGGCCCCCAGUUUCAGAGCAUCAACCCAAUGAACUGCAUGUUCUGGUGGUUCGGACGGUCGGCUCCUGACCAGAAACUCACAGGCCCCUACCCCAGGUGAGGAACAACCCCAUGAUUAAGGUAUUGUACCCCUUUUUUUAACAGUAUUCAUAUAUACUGUACAAGUGUAAGCUUAUAUACCAGGUGUAUGCAAAUCAAAGGGUGCCGUUCUUUGUAGCAGCAGCUACACAAUCGCAUUGUAAGAAUAAAAACUAUAUGAAUUCCUGCAUUUACUUAAUAUCACACAACAAUUGUGAUUUGCAUAGUGUAUACUAUAAAUGUAAUUUAAAGAUGAAACAACAUUCAUAGUAAAUGUGUGCAAAGUUGAUGUAUCGGUCACUUCUUAACAUAUACAGUACCACUAAAGAUGUAUGAAAAGCAAGUAGUAUAGCAGAUAAUGAAAUAUGCACUCUCAGUGAUGUGGACUCUAUUGCUGUGAAUGCCGGUAUUGGCCUGCACUGUAUGCUUUAGAGUGCUGAACCUGCACAAUUGCCACUCUGUGUAGAUCAGGAGGGAGAAGCAGAACUCAGAGACUGGAACAAGACAUCUCUGCCAUCUGCUUACUUCUGAAAGGACUCAUGGGCGUCAUUGUCUGCUUCAGCUUGUCGUAGCUCCCUGCUGCCGACGUACGUCAACUUCCCACAGGCCUGCCGUACCCCCAGAACAGAGCGCUAAAACAGCCUUCUAACACUGCCCGACAACUGUCAAGAGCACUGCCGGCUUUACAUUUCCAUGGUUACUGUACCCUACAACCACAAGCAGCUCUCCUGAAGCCACAGCUGCUGAACCACACAAAGGGAAGGACCAAUGACGAUGAGGGAGACAGGACUUCUUUACAUCUUCAAUUUACACACUAUGCACUGAAGCUGGCUGGGACUUUCUCCAGAAGCUUAAUAGAGAUUAUUUUCCCAGUUGUUAUCCUUAAAAAUCUCUAGCAAACCUCUUAUUGAUCUUAAACUGCUUUCACUUAAACUGUAUAUAGACUAUUUUUAAAUAGUUUGCUAUUGACAAACACUUGAGUAAUAUUUCUCUUGUUUAGCCUGAUAAGAAGUGCUGGAAAAUGUUUUUUUCUUUUAAGCAUUAUGAGUAAAAUGAUACAACUUUUGUUCCAA